CCUACGGGAGGCAGCAGUGAGGAAUAUUGGUCAAUGGACGAGAGUCUGUACCAGCCAAGUAGAGUGAAGGAUGACUGCCAUAUGGGUUGUACACUUCUUUUAUAUGGGAAUAAAAUGUUCCACGUGUGGGCUUUUGUAUGUACCAUAUGAAUAAGGAUCGGCUAACUCCGUGCCAGCAGCCGCGGUAAUACGGAGGAUCCGAGCGUUCUCCGGCUUUAUUGGGUUUCAAGGGAGCGUAGGUGGAGUGUUAAGUCAGUUGUGAAAGUUUGCGGCUGAACCGUGAAAUUGCAGUUGAAACUGGCAGUAUUGAGUACAGUAGAGGUGGGCGGAAUGCGUGGUGUAGCGGUGAAAUGCUUAGAUAUCACGAAGAACUCCGAUUGCGAAGGCAGUUCACUGGACUGCAACUGACACUGAGGCUCGAAAGUGUGGGUAUCAAACAGGAUUAGAUACCCUAGUAGUC
rnacentral:rRNA from 1 species